rnacentral:misc_RNA from 1 species
GAUGAAGAACGUAGCGAAAUGCGAUAAGUAAUGUGAAUUGCAGAAUUCAGUGAAUCAUCGAAUCUUUGAACACACAUUGCGCCCGCCAGCAUUCUGGCGGGCAUGCCUGUUCGAGCGUCAUUUCAACCCUCGACUUCCCUUUGGGGAAAUCGGCGUUGGGGACUGGCAGCAUACCGCCGGCCCCGAAAUGGAGUGGCGGCCCGUCCGCGGCGACCUCUGCGUAGUAAUCCAACCUCGCACCGGAACCCCGACGUGGCCACGCCGUAAAACACCCCACUUUCUGAACGUUGACCUCGGAUCAGGUAGGAAUACCCGCUGAACUUAAGCAUAUCAAUAAGCGGAGGA